rnacentral:rRNA from 1 species
UACGUAGGGUGCAAGCGUUAAUCGGAAUUACUGGGCGUAAAGCGUGCGCAGGCGGUGAUGUAAGACAGGUGUGAAAUCCCCGGGCUUAACCUGGGAACUGCAUCGUUGUGACUGCACAGCUGGAGUGCGGCAGAGGGGGAUGGAAUUCCGCGUGUAGCAGUGAAAUGCGUAGAUAUGCGGAGGAACACCGAUGGCGAAGGCAAUCCCCUGGGCCUGCACUGACGCUCAUGCACGAAAGCGUGGGGAGCAAACAGG